rnacentral:rRNA from 2 species
UCUUCGGAUGCUGACGAGUGGCGGACGGGUGAGUAACGCGUAGGAAUCUGCCCAUCUGUGGGGGAUACCAGUUGGAAACGACUGUUAAUACCGCAUAAUAUCUGCGGAUUAAAGGUGGCCUUUGCGCUGCCGCAGAUGGAUGAGCCUGCGUUGGAUUAGCUAGUUGGUGGGGUAAGGGCCUACCAAGGCUACGAUCCAUAGCUGAUUUGAGAGGAUGAUCAGCCACAUUGGGACUGAGACACGGCCCAAACUCCUACGGGAGGCAGCAGUGGGGAAUAUUGGACAAUGGGGGAAACCCUGAUCCAGCAAUGCCAUGUGUGUGAAGAAGGCUCUAGGGUUGUAAAGCACUUUAGUUGGGGAGGAAAGCCUGUGAGUUAAUAGCUUGCAGGAAGGACGUUGCCCAAAGAAUAAGGACCGGCUAACUCCGUGCCAGCAGCCGCGGUAAUACGGGGGGUCCGAGCGUUAAUCGGAAUUACUGGGCGUAAAGGGUCUGUAGGUGGUUUGUUAAGUCAGAUGUGAAAGCCCAGGGCUCAACCUUGGAACUGCAUUUGAUACUGACAAACUAGAGUAUGGUAGAGGAAUAGGGAACUUCUGGUGUAGCGGUGAAAUGCGUAGAGAUCAGAAGGAACACCAAUGGCGAAGGCAACAUUCUGGACCAAUACUGACACUGAGGGACGAAAGCGUGGGGAUCAAACAGGAUUAGAUACCCUGGUAGUCCACGCUGUAAACGAUGAGUACUAGCUGUUGGAUUCGGUGUAAAGGAUCUAGUGGCGCAGCUAACGCGUUAAGUACUCCGCCUGGGGACUACGGCCGCAAGGCUAAAACUCAAAGGAAUUGACGGGGACCCGCACAAGCGGUGGAGCAUGUGGUUUAAUUCGAUGCAACGCGAAGAACCUUACCUGGUCUUGACAUCCUGCGAACUUUCUAGAGAUAGAUUGGUGCCUUCGGGAACGCAGUGACAGGUGCUGCACGGCUGUCGUCAGCUCGUGUUGUGAAAUGUUGGGUUAAGUCCCGCAACGAGCGCAACCCCUAUUGAUAGUUACCAUCAUUAAGUUGGGUACUCUAUUGAGACUGCCGCUGACAAGGCGGAGGAAGGUGGGGACGACGUCAAGUCAUCAUGGCCCUUACGACCAGGGCUACACACGUGCUACAAUGGGUAUUACAGAGGGCUGCGAAGGUGCGAGCUGGAGCGAAACUCAGAAAGGUACUCUUAGUCCGGAUUGCAGUCUGCAACUCGACUGCAUGAAGUCGGAAUCGCUAGUAAUCGCAGGUCAGAAUACUGCGGUGAAUACGUUCCCGGGUCUUGUACACACCGCCCGUCACACCAUGGGAGUGGGUUGCUCCAGAAGUAGAUAGCUUAACGAAUGGGCGUUUACCACGGAGUGAUUCAUAA